ACUGGGGCAGCCGCGGGCGCCGGCGCAGGAAGCCUCCCUUCCCCCUCGGCCCGCCGGGCCCGGAAAGGCGGGAGCUGGGAGGAAGCUUCGCGGCGGCCGAGGCUGCGGGAGAGGACGAGCGCGCCCCAUUUUCUCCGCGGAGCCGCCCCCAGCCCUCCUGACCUCCGCGCCCCUUUAAAUCCUCCGCGGGUCUCCCCGCCCUUCCUGCUGGGAUGGGAGGAGACCUUAGCGGACGGUGCUCUGCCUGUGCGGCCAGAUGAAAGGGGGACUGGGAAAAUGAAGCCAGCUCUUGCCGGUGGGCUGGGGGCGGCAGGAAUCCGGAGCUCUGGCCGCUGGCGGCACUGGGCUUGAGGGAAGCGGCGGCACGGGAGGCGUCCUCGGGAGCCGGGGUCUCACGGUCCAGGGAACGCCCCCGCCGCCGGCUUGCUAGCGAGGCAUCCCGUGAACAAAGAGGCCUGCUUCACCCUACUGGGGCGAUCGCCCCCCGGAGGGAAGGGUUUCCACCUUGCACGGCACUCGCGCGUUUUGUCUGUUGGUUGUGGUGAGGAGGGUGUAUUGCAGAUCCAAAAGGAGCCUCUCGGCCUCCCAGGGUGUCUGGGUCAGAAUUGAGACGUUCUGGGCGAGGAGGUGUUGGGAGGGGAGUAGGAGGUCGGAAGGAGAGAGGCCGACCCAGUUAGCUCUGUUCACACCGUCCCUCUCUAGGAGCGGAGCCUACACCUGACUUGUUUGGAAUGUGAGCUUUUGCAGGGGACAGAGGCCCUGGCACGUAGAAAGUUCUAAACUGUCUGGUGAAUUGCUGCAAUUAAAACCAGAGCGGCUCCUUCAGUUGUCCUGGGUGGGCAGGGCAUCCCAAAGAAACACAGAAAAGCACAAAGAAAGGAUUCAUAUGGGAGCGAAUAGAACAAGUAAAGACGGUCAGCUGUGGUCACAGUGGAGGAACUGAAGAGUUUAGACUUCACCAGCUCUUAGAGCCCUGUUUUCUUUGAAGUGGUUACAACCGAGUACUUUGGUGUGGCCUAAAGAGUUUGAAGGUAUACAGUUAAAGGACCUGGAAAUAAGAUUGGGCUGGCCAUUGGGGCCUUGCUUUUCUCAUCUGUGAGAUGAUAGUUGUGAAAAUGAGAUUAGACUGUAUGAAAUAUUCUUCGUAAGCCAUAGGAUAUGUUAUACAAAUGCUUUAGUUAUUGAAACAUCUAUAAAUUGGUAUACAAGUCAUGAUUACUGUAGUUGCAAUACGGAGUUGGUGGGGUGCUUCAGAUUUGCAAGCUGUAGGAGGUGGGAACAGGACUGAAGGGCUAUGUGCUGAUGAAUCUCCUUCAGCAUUGCUGUGGAAUGGAUAUGCUUCCCCAAAAUUCAUAUGUGUUGAAGCUCUAACCCCUAAUGUGACUAUAUCUGGAAAUAGGGUCUUUAGGAGCUCGCUCUCUCCUCUGCCAUGUGAGGGUACAGCAAGAAGGCGGCCAUCUGCAAGCCAGAAACAAAGCCCUCAACAGAACCUGACCAUGCUGGCACCCUGAUCUCAGAUUUCCAGGCUCCGGAACUAUGAGAAAUACAUUUUUUUGCUUAAACCACUCUGUGAUAUUUUGUUAUGGCAGCCAGAGCAGACUAAGACAAAUAUGUCUUCGCUUGGAGCUAAGCGCCCCUCCUACCACCUCCACCACCUGGCGUUUUGUUCAGCACUUCCACAGUUGUCUCAUUUUUAAUUUGUAACCGUGUAAGUUGGAAUUGGCAAGAUUUAUUUUAAAAUGAAGAAGCUAAGAAACAAAAAGAUUAAAAGGCCUGCUGAAAGUCACACAGAUUGUGAAUGACUGAACUAGAACUAGAGUCUCCCCAGACAACAUCUAGUCCCUAGCAUCUGCCAGGUUCUGGGCUAGAUUCGAGGGAUAAGGAGAUGAAUAUGAUUUAGAGGUGGAGAGGGUACAGUCUGGUCAAGCAAAGAAACGUGAACAAAUCAUUACAUCAAGUAGAAAAGUCUGCAAGGAUUCAUUGGCCCAGCAGGAUGUAUACUCCCCUACCCACCCCCUGCUAUUAUGAUGGAAUUGGCGGUCUGGUGAGACACAGUGAGAGGAUGAUUUCCAGCUAACACAGCUGUGGCUUGAUCUCCAGGGCCCAGAGUCUCUGGAGAUUCUUUGCAAGUCUCGUGGUCAGGAAAUCCAAAUCUCUGCUCCUUCUUAGCAGGCUGUAGCAUUCCCACUCACAGUUCUCUCCUUAGCAGUCAGAUUCUUCCCGAGGAAAAUAAUGAACAUGAGAGUCCUCAAGAGAGGGUGGAGGGAGGGGAGACAGAGAAAGACCCAGACAGACAGAAAUGGAAAGACAAAACAGCUACAGCGCUGAAGGAAGUAUCUGUGCCACAGAAGACAGGCAGAUCCUGUGACUGGCUAGAAAGAACGAACCAGAUGUGGAUCAACAUAGAGAAAAACUCAUGGAUGGUAUCUUGGAUUCUGGAAGAGGAUCAAGUGUAGAGAGUACCAAAGGAAAUCCUACACUUCAGAGACAACAUCAGUGUUUGCACAGAGGGAACAAAAUGGUUUUUCUUUUACCUCACAGCAUGCAAGUUUCCAACAGCUGCUCUGCCCCGACUUGAGAGGUGGAAUGGGUUGAAGAACAAGCAGGUGGGAACACAUGGCUUUCCGCACAUCCCUGAAUUCUAGAAAAACUGAAAGGAGCCUUGUCUUGGCAUCUGAUAGAACGAUUGGGCUGGGGCAACCUUGCAGAGGCCCCAUUCAUAGGGAAAAAGCAGAGGGCUGGGACCAGGACUGCCUUGGUGCUAAAUGGAUGGAAAAGGGGCAGCUGUCUCACCAUCCUGUAAGUUAGGGAUAUGGCUUACCACACAGGCCUAGAGGCUUCUUGUGACCAGGUCCCAGAAAACUUUAUUACAUAAAAAGUAGAUUUACUGCAAAUAUCCCAGAUGAUAACGGUUUGCCUCUAUGUCCCCACCCAAAUCUCAAGUUGUAAUCCCCAGUGUCAGGGGAGAGAAGUAAUUGGAUUAUGGGGUGGUUCCCCCAUGCUGUUCCCAUGAUAGUUUUAUAAAUGGUAGUUUUUCCCGCGCUUACACGUGCCCUCACCUGCUGCCAUGUAAGACGUGCCCGCUUCCCCUUCCACCAUGAUUGUAAGUUUCCUGAGGCUUCCCCAGACAUGCGAACUGUGAGCCAAUUAAAUCUCUUUUGUCAGUUACCCAGUCUUGGGUAUUUCUUUAUAGUGGUGUGAAAACGGACUAAUAUAAUACACCAGGCCAGCUCUAUGCCAGUCCCCUAAAAGAAUCACCUGCUAGAGAUGCUCAGUAGCAGUGCUGGGUACCAGCCCUUCUUCCUGCAGCUUCCAAAAGCUGAUAGCCAAUACUCUAUUUCACCUGCCCAUAAGUGGGCAGCAUCCGGUGAUAGAGGCUGCUGCUGGUCUGGAGAGGAAAGAGGAGAGGCCCUUUCAGGAAUGCAGUCCCUGGAGGUUUCUCCUUCCCUGCCUGAAGGAUUCCAGAGGUCUGAGAUAAACCCCAGGCUGUAGUCCAGCAAAGAGCUUUGGGCUGUAUUCCUCUGGGAGACAGCAAUUGCUAGAGAGAGAUUUUAUUUUAAAACCCCCAUUCCCACUGCGGGAGGGAGCAGUGGUAGCAGGCAUUGGGAAAAACUGUGUUUGAAUCAGGAAGGAGGCAUUCAGCUAGAUGUGCGUAUCCUUUCACACUUUCUGCUCUUCCACAUUUGUUCCCUAUCGUACCCUUAAGAAUUAUUACUGAAAAACUCCAAGGGCAUGUGUUAAGAUCACAGUGAUUCCUAACAUCAACUCUCCUUCUAUGUUUUUUCCUCCCAAGGCUUUCCACUGGGUUGAAUUUUAAAUUUGAACAAUGGUUCAAAGGCUGAGAGACAAACUGCUCAUUACUGGAAAGAGUGCCAGGAAUCCUGGGAAGCAGGCCUCCCUCCCCACCGGAGCACUGCACCUCAUAGUAAUGGCCUCUUUCAUAGUCACGGAAAGGUUGGAUCAGCGUUUCUUUUCAUUCCUGUCUUUUUUCAGGGACUGCUGGGAUAAAAGGAAGUCUAGAAGAAUAAAAAAUUCACAAACAGGAGAAGAAUAAAAUAUUUAGGGCAAGAGAUCAGAAAUCCUUUGGUUAUUCAGUGAACUGAACUAACUCUACUUUUUUUUAAAAAAGUACAAGGAAAUAAAUGUCCAUCAAAUGCCAUAUCACAGUGGGAUUAGCCUGUCGACCCCAUCACACAGGAUCUGAGGCUAGGUUAUCAUGCCUAGUAAGUUGCAGUAAGAGAGACUCAGACUAACCCAGUGAUAAGAUGGAACAGUUUUAUAAUUAUUAAUUUCAUUCCCAAUAUUUCUGACAUCUUUAUUCUGAGAAGCUUUCCACCAAAGUUGUCAAAUGACCCAUUUCCUCUCACUUCACACUCCCAAAUCCAAUCAGUGAUGAGUAGAAGGAAUGGAAAGGUUAUUUGGUGCCAUAAAGAAAACCCAGUCACCUUGGAGGAGCAAUUCAGGCUUUCCAUCAUUAGUUCCCAUCGCCAAGAACAAAUGAUGGUUUCUAAAAGGGAAGACAGGGUUAAAACAACAUGGUUGAGAAGUACAUACUAGGCCGGGGGCAGUGGCUCACGCCUGUAAUCCCAGCACUUUGGGAGGCCAAGGC
rnacentral:lncRNA from 1 species